ACCCCAUGAUGAGGACAAGCUCUUGUGUAGCUUUUCAUACGCUCCCACACAUCAUACAAACUCUCUUCUUUAUCUUGCUCGAAUCUAGCUAUAUCGUUCCUUAUCUU
rfam:Arabis alpina cultivar Pajares chromosome 5, whole genome shotgun sequence.